UACGGAGGGUGCAAGCGUUAAUCGGAAUUACUGGGCGUAAAGGGCGCGUAGGCGGCCGCCUAAGUCAGACGUGAAAUCCCUCGGCUCAACCGGGGAACUGCAUCUGAUACUGGAUGGCUUGAGUUCGGGAGAGGGAUGCGGAAUUCCAGGUGUAGCGGUGAAAUGCGUAGAUAUCUGGAGGAACACCGGUGGCGAAGGCGGCAUCCUGGACCGGCACUGACGCUGAGGAGCGAAAGCCAGGGGAGCAAACGGG
rnacentral:rRNA from 1 species